rnacentral:lncRNA from 1 species
AUGUGCAUAUUGGUCUCUUCAACAUUUUUCUUUUCCUCCUCAAUGACAUUAUUUUCCCUUUUGCAUCUUCAGAACCUCAUGAGUUCAACAGUUCCCGGGAUCCUUCCUCAGUGCCAGCUGUCCAGAGGAAAGUGCAUCCACAGCUUCUUAGAGGAGAUGACCACUGAAAGGAUCAUUCUUAAACUGACGGGCUACAGAGCCAGACCUGACUGUCCAGAAGACAUGAACAUAAGGAAAUGUUCUGAGAGUUCUCAUUCAAGUUGUAUCUUAUUCUAAGUGACCCCAUUUGGCUGUCUUCUUGGGAGACAUACUGGAGUGCUUUGCCAUUUCCUUCUCCGGCUCAUUUUACAGAUGAGGAAACUGAGGUAAAGAAGGUUAAGUGACUUUUCCAGGGGCAAACAGUAAUCAGUGUCUGAGACCAUAUUUGAAUUUAGGAAGAUGAGUCUUCCUGAGUCCAGGCCUUCUUUUUCUAGAAGAAUGGUCAGGUGACAGGAAGGAGAUAGAAUUCAUUAUUUUUUUAAAUUUUAAUUCUUAUACAACUACUUGAUCACAUGGUUCAAUGGGGAUAUGACUGGGGAUGUAGACUCUAAAGGAUCACCCCAGUGCAAAUAUUAAUAAUAUAGAAAUAGAUCUUGAUCAAUGACAUACGUAAAAAAUAGUGGAAUUGCUUGUUGGGUAUGGGAAGGGGGAGAGAGGAGGGGGCGGGGAAAGAAUAUGAAUCAUGUAACCAUGGGAAAAUAUUCUAAAUUAAUUAAUUAAAUAAAUAAACUUGAAAAAAAGAAAUGUAUCGAGGC